rnacentral:tRNA from 1 species
UGAAUUGUGGACUAAUAGGUAAGUCUACCUGAAUUUGAGUCAGAGUAAUGAAAGUUCGAAUCUUUUCAAUUCAA